rnacentral:rRNA from 1 species
CCAGGGUGGCUGCAGUGGGGAAUAUUGGACAAUGGGCGAAAGCCUGAUCCAGCCAUGCCGCGUGUGUGAAGAAGGCCUUCGGGUUGUAAAGCACUUUCAGUGGGGAAGAAAGCCUUGGGGCUAAUACCCUCGAGGAAGGACAUCACCCACAGAAGAAGCACCGGCUAACUCCGUGCCAGCAGCCGCGGUAAUACGGAGGGUGCGAGCGUUAAUCGGAAUUACUGGGCGUAAAGCGCGCGUAGGCGGUCUGAUAAGCCGGUUGUGAAAGCCCCGGGCUCAACCUGGGAACGGCAUCCGGAACUGUCAGGCUAGAGUGCAGGAGAGGAAGGUAGAAUUCCCGGUGUAGCGGUGAAAUGCGUAGAGAUCGGGAGGAAUACCAGUGGCGAAGGCGGCCUUCUGGACUGACACUGACGCUGAGGUGCGAAAGCGUGGGUAGCAAACAGGAUUAGAUACCCCAGUAGUC